GUGGCUGUCUUUUGAGACCGUUCGUAGGAGGCAUUAAUCCAGCUGCUGACAUCGAAAUCGUCGCCGGAAAAGGCACUUACAUCCUAGCAGCCGUUGCGUUUACUCACCUAGACUAGGAUAUGCGUAAGCAGUGUAUGGCAAUACGCUACUGUAUGGUGAAAUGUAGCUCGCGGCGUACGCAUACGGAUAUGCAGCAUAACCAACCGGAGCAGUUGCCAGUAGCUGUGCCUUGGGAUCUGGUUUCGGUUCCGGUGCUGGAGCUGCCAGCGUACAGGCAACGAGAGCGAGGAUCACAGCGAUCUGCAAAGCACAUUGAAUCAAAUCAAACCAGUGAAAACUUAUUCGUUUCAUUUACAGGCGAAAUCUGUUCUUCUAAUGGCAUCAUCCCCACGUGGUGUUGAUGAGUUUUUGUACGGAAAAAAUCACUCAAAACAUUUUUUUAUCGACAAAAUUGAAAUUGCAGUUGAAUUCGGAAUAAGUCCAAGAUGCACACGAUCGGGAUAAACUGCAAGUCGCAUUGCUUACCACAAAUUUAAUGGCCAUUUUUUUAGGUUAAUAUAAUGCACCCAAGAGUCACUGCAAUCACA